UUUGGCAUCAUCGGUGGGUUUGGCUUCAUGAACACGGGGCAAAAUGGCCCCUAUGUUUUCUAUACUUGUCGUAAAGUAUUUUUGAAUGCAAAUCCAUGCUAAAUAUGAAUUAUGUGAAUUUUAGAACACUUGAAAUGCAUGCCUUAUGUAUUCAUGAAAUUGCACUCUAUAUAGUAGAGCUAUAUGUGUAGACUGCAUGCAUUGUGAAAGGUGGAUAGCUUUGAAAGUUGAGAACAUGUCUCCUAUGUUUGAAAUGAGUAGAAUUAUGUAUUCAUGAACAUAGAUACCAUGCUUG
rnacentral:lncRNA from 1 species